rnacentral:rRNA from 1 species
UUCGCAAUGCCCGAAAGGGUGACGAAGCGACGCCGCGUGUGGGAAGAAGGCCUUCGGGUUGUAAACCACUGUCGGGAGUUAAGAAAUGUAAGGAUGUUAAUAGCGUUCUUACUUGACUAAGGCUCCGGAGGAAGCCACGGCUAACUCUGUGCCAGCAGCCGCGGUAAUACAGAGGCGGCAAGCGUUGUUCGGAAUUAUUGGGCGUAAAGAGCACGUAGGCGGCUGUGUAAGUCGGUUGUGAAAGCCUUCUGCUCAACGGAAGAACAGCAUCUGAUACUGCAAGGCUAGAGCGCGGAAGGGGAGAGUGGAACUUCUGGUGGAGCGGUGAAAUGCGUAGAUAUCAGAAGGAACGCCGGCGGCGAAAGCGGCUCUCUGGCCCAUAACUGACGCUGAGUGUGCGAAAGCUAGGGGAGCAAACGGGAUUAGAUACCCCGGUAGUCCUAGCCGUAAACGAUGGGCACUAAGUAGAGGGGUUUU